UUGAUGGUCCGUCCAGUUCACAGAAUAGGAGAAACACGGCAGUGACAAUUCUGCUCCAGUCCCUUGUGCUACUAGUUGGCCUCAAUCCUGACCUAGAAGGAACAUCUUCAAAGCUGAAAAUUAAUUUAGAGUCUAUUCCAGGUCAGUCCUGUGCAUCU
rnacentral:sRNA from 1 species